ACACGACUACAUUAGAUACCCGUGUAGUCCCAGCCCUAAACGAUGCGCGUUUAGGUGUAUCGGUGACCACGAGUCACCGAGGUGCCGAAGGGAAACCGUGAAACGUGCCGCCUGGGAAGUACGGUCGCAAGGCUGGAAACUUAAAGGAAUUGGCGGGGGAGCACAACAACGGGUGGAGCUUGCGGUUUAAUUGGAUUCAACGCCGGAAAUCUUACCGGGACCGACAGCAACAUGAAGGCCAAGCUGAAGACUUUGCCGGAUUAGCUG
rnacentral:rRNA from 1 species